rnacentral:lncRNA from 1 species
GAGGAGGUCGAGCGAUGGUCGACCAAUGGUCGAAGGUCGCUUGCUGGGGAGAAUCAGCGAUAGUGGUCGAGCGGCCAGGGAAACAACGACGGCGGUGGAGAAAGAGUUGCCUUGUAGCGGUGAUGGGGAAGAAGGGAAGCAAGGCUGCGGCAGGCUGCGCCAAGGAUCAUUGCUCUGAUACCAAAUGGUAAGACCCUAAAG